UUUCCGUAGGUGAACCUGCGGAAGGAUCAUUAAAGAGACGUUGCCCUUCGGGGUAUACCUCCCACCCUUUGUUUAUUAUACCUUUGUUGCUUUCGCGGGCCCGUCCUCGGACCACCGGCUUCCGCUGGUCAGUGCCCGCCAGCGGCCCUAAAACUCUGUUUUUUCAUUUUGUCUGAGUACUAUAUAAUAGUUAAAACUUUCAACAACGGUUCACUUGGUUCUGGCAUCGACGCAGAACGCAGCCGAUCGUAAAAGCACACGCCUGAACGCCAGUCACAU
rnacentral:misc_RNA from 1 species